GGUUUCUUGUGAAAAAUUGGAGAUUUAACCUGCCCACUGAUUAUUUGAAGGGCCGCAGUAUUUUGACUGUGCAAAGGUAGCAUAAUCAUUAGUCUUUUAAUUAAGGGCUUGUAUGAAUGGUUGGACGAGAUAAAAUCUGUUUUAUAUUAAUAUAUUGAAUUUAUAUUUUAAGUAAAAAGACUUAAAUGUUAUUAAGGGACGAGAAGACCCUAUAGAGUUUAAUAAGUAAUAUUUUUAAUUAGGUUUAUAAAGAGUUUAAAUUAUUAUAAAACUUAUUUGAUUGGGGUGAUAAGAAAAUAGAUAAAACUUUUCUUUAAAAUGAAUAUUUAUUAAUAAUUAUUUGAUCCAUUAUAAUGAUAAAAAGAUUAAAUUACCUUAGGGAUAACAGCAUAAUCUUUUUUAAGAGUUCUUAUCAAAAAGAAGGAUUAUGACCUCGAUGUUGGAUUAAGAUAAAUUUUGGGUGUAGAUGUUCAAUUAGUAGGUCUGUUCGACCUUUAAAAUCUUACA
rnacentral:rRNA from 1 species